GAAGCCGGAAGGAACGAUCAGAAGGAGCUCAUGACUCUCGCAAUGAGCCAAGAGCCGGGAAGCCUGACGACCGAGAGCGAACGAGCCAAAGAGAUACUCUGCUCCAUGCUCCUGGGAAACAAGUCAGUGAUUAACCACAAAGAACUCAAGCUGACAACACACCUGGGACAAGGAGGUUUCGGAACCGUGUACGAAGCAAUCUGGCUCGGUCACAAGUUUGCAGUGAAAGUCUUCCCUCAAGGUGACAAGAGCUUCGCCAA
rnacentral:lncRNA from 1 species